AGUGAACGCUGGCGGUAGGCCUAACACAUGCAAGUCGAACGGCAGCACAGUAAGAGCUUGCUCUUACGGGUGGCGAGUGGCGGACGGGUGAGGAAUACAUCGGAAUCUACUUUUUCGUGGGGGAUAACGUAGGGAAACUUACGCUAAUACCGCAUACGACCUACGGGUGAAAGCAGGGGAUCUUCGGACCUUGCGCGAUUGAAUGAGCCGAUGUCGGAUUAGCUAGUUGGCGGGGUAAAGGCCCACCAAGGCGACGAUCCGUAGCUGGUCUGAGAGGAUGAUCAGCCACACUGGGACUGAGACACGGUCCAGACUCCUACGGGAGGCAGCAGUGGGGAAUAUUGGACAAUGGGCGCAAGCCUGAUCCAGCCAUACCGCGUGGGUGAAGAAGGCCUUCGGGUUGUAAAGCCCUUUUGUUGGGAAAGAAAAGCAGCAGGUUAAUACCCCGCUGUUCUGACGUUACCCAAAGAAUAAGCACCGGCUAACUUCGUG
rnacentral:rRNA from 1 species